UCUAAUAUGGCAGAUUAGUGCAAUAAUUUUAAGCAUUAUAAAUAAAGAUUUUUCUUUUAUUAGAA
rnacentral:tRNA from 1 species